GCCGGGCGCGGUGGCGCGUGCCUGCGGUACCAGCUACUCGGGAAGCUGAGGCUAGAGGAUCGCUUGGGCCCAGGAGUUCUGGGCAGUAGUGCGUCAUGCGGUGUUCACAGUAAGUUCAGCAUCGAUAUGGUGACCUCCCGGGAGUGGGGAACCACCACCAAGUUGCCUAAGGAGGGGUGAACCGGCCCAGGUCGGAAACGGAGCAGGUCAAAACUCCCGUGCUAAUCAGCAGUGGGAUCGCACCUGUGAAUAGCCACUGCACUCCAGCCUGGGCAAGAUAGUGAGACUCUGUCUCU
rnacentral:SRP_RNA from 1 species